UCCUACGGGAGGCAGCAGUGGGGAAUAUUGCACAAUGGGCGCAAGCCUGAUGCAGCGACGCCGCGUGAGGGAUGACGGCCUUCGGGUUGUAAACCUCUUUCAGUAGGGAAGAAGCGAAAGUGACGGUACCUGCAGAAGAAGCACCGGCUAACUACGUGCCAGCAGCCGCGGUAAUACGUAGGGUGCGAGCGUUAUCCGGAAUUAUUGGGCGUAAAGAGCUCGUAGGCGGUUUGUCGCGUCCGUCGUGAAAGUCCGGGGCUUAACCCCGGAUCUGCGGUGGGUACGGGCAGACUAGAGUGCAGUAGGGGAGACUGGAAUUCCUGGUGUAGCGGUGGAAUGCGCAGAUAUCAGGAGGAACACCGAUGGCGAAGGCAGGUCUCUGGGCUGUAACUGACGCUGAGGAGCGAAAGCAUGGGGAGCGAACAGGAUUAGAUACCCUGGUAGUCC
rnacentral:rRNA from 1 species